rnacentral:rRNA from 1 species
UACGAAGGGGGCUAGCGUUGCUCGGAAUGACUGGGCGUAAAGGGCGCGUAGGCGGCUCAUACAGUCAGGCGUGAAAUUCCUGGGCUCAACCUGGGGACUGCGCUUGAGACGUGUGGGCUUGAGUGGGGAAGAGGGUCGUGGAAUUCCCAGUGUAGAGGUGAAAUUCGUAGAUAUUGGGAAGAACACCGGUGGCGAAGGCGGCGACCUGGUCCUUGACUGACGCUGAGGCGCGAAAGCGUGGGGGAGCAAACAGG